rnacentral:rRNA from 1 species
UUGAUUGAUGAUUCCACUAGAUUCUGUUAUGUGUAUUUGUUAAAUACAAAGGAUGAGGCUCUACACUACUUUAAAAUCUAUAAGGCUGAAGUUGAGAACCAACUUGAGAAGAAAAUAAAACGAGUCCGGUCUGAUCGUGGUGGAGAGUACUUUUCUAGUGAGUUUGAUUUAUUCUGUGCGGAACAUGGUAUUAUUCAUGAGAGGACGCCUCCCUAUUCACCCCAGUCAAAUGGGGUUGUCGAACAGAAAAACCAUACUCUAACUGAUUUGGCUAACUCCAUGUUAGAUACAUCGGGUUUAUCCAAGGCAUGGUGGGGGGAGGCUAUAUUAACAUCAUGUCAUGUCCUGAAUAAAGUUCCCGCAAAGGAUAAUGAGACUACUCCCUAUGAGAAAUGGGAAAAGAAAAUAACUACACUCUCUUACUUGCGCACUUGGGGCUGUUUGGCGAAAGUCAAUGUGCCGAUCCCCAAAAAGCGUAAGUUUGGUCCGAAGACCGUGGACUGCGUUAAUUUGGGCUACGCUAAGAAUAGUGUUGGCUAUAGAUUUCUAGUAGUGAAAUCUGAGGUACCUGACUAG